rnacentral:ncRNA from 1 species
AAGUUAUGUAGGAUUUUGCUCUAAAUUUAACAUUAUCUUUUCUAAACACCCCUUUGAUAUGUAAAAGAUUGUAUUAUGUUCAAAGUAUAUAUUUGAUUCGUAUCUCUCCUCAUGCAAAGUGUGCAACCCACGUAUUUAAUUGCCACCGUUGAGUUUGGAAUCCUGAACAAAAUGUCGAUGAUAAAUCAGAGGAAGGCGACCGGGAUGACAUCAAGUCAUGAUCAUGCCCAUUAUGCCUCGGUAGCACACAUGCUGCAAUGGCCAUGACAAAGGGUCGCGAUCCUGCGAGGGUGAGCUAACCCAAAAAAAAUCCGUCCCAAAUUUGGAUUGAAGACUGCAACUCUUUUGCAUGAAGUCGAAAUCACUAAUUGUCAUCGGUUAGCCAUACGAUGGAGAUUAC